CAAAGUCUGCAGGAGCUGGCGCGCUUCCUCCUCCUCUUCUUCGGUCGCCGCCGCCGCCACCGCCUCCCCCCCAGCCGCCGGCCCCGCGCUCGGCUCCGCAGGCAAGGCCGCGCUUUUUCCUCCCCCCGCGUGUGCCUCAGGCUGAGGGCCUCAGUUUCCCCAUCGGGACAACGGAGAAGGUAACGGGCCGUCCGGGAAGGCUAAGGGCGCGAAGCCACCUCCGCCCCGAGACUAAGCUUCUGCACGCCUCCGUCUCCAGAGUCCUCUGAAGGCCCCCCCAUACCCCAUCUCGGCCCGCGCUCCGCCCCUCGGAAUUCCCGGCUCCGCAGGGGGGCGGGUCCGGCAGGGAGAAGGGGCGGGGGAAACGGGUUAGAAAGUUUGCAGCAACUUUUCUUGAGCUAGUCGCUGGGACCGAGUCGCGUGGCCCGCGCAAGCGCAGUAGUAGGAGGAUGGCCGCGCGCGCGCGCAGCCGGCCCAACCCCCUUCUUGCCGGCCUGCGGGUGGCACAGCUGGGCCACAGCUGGGCAAGGGGCGGUGCCUCCGGGCGGCUCGCUAGCCACCUCCUAUUGGCCGGAUGCCGAAGCCACGCCUUUCGGCGUCCCCAUCCCCACCCCCAGCCCGGAUUCGUCUGCUUGGCGGCCCUGUAGCUUCUUGCCAGGCCAUUGGGCGCCUCCACUCGCCUUCCAAUUGGCCCACCGAGCAGCCUCGUUCCCUCAACCCAAAGAGAGCGGACACCGCGGAGUCCAGAGCGUUGGGCAGACGGGAGGGCCUUUUAUUCGCGAGGAUCGGGGGUGGGGUCCUAGGUGUGGAGAGACAAUAAAUACUGAGGAAUGUCGGGGUCUCAGUGCA